UCCGAUUUUAUUUUGUUAACUUCCUGUUCACCCAGUCGUCACUCUCCGGUUCCCAGUAUCCACACCUGUUACCAAUCAGUAAUCAGUACCAGUAUAUAGUCUCACCACUCACAGACCCCAGUGGCCAGAUCGUUGAUUCCGUGACCUCAUGUUCCAGCAGUUAUUGUUCAGCUUAUCCUGUUGCCAACCCAGCUCCGUAUCUCUGACCAUCGCUUCUCGUCUGAUCCUGACCGGUAUGUGAAUCCCUGACUCUGUUGCUCAACUCUGCCUGUAUCUGGACCGAUCUAAGCCCGCCGAUUCUAACUCUGAGAGCUGAGCCUUUUUUUGAUAAUGACCUGUGUAUGACCCGGAGGUCGCGCCGGCUGGAGUUGCUGCGGACCUCGGUCCUAUCGGUCGCGUCUGUUCUGCUCCUUGGUGCCGGCAUUCCGCCGGCUGGUACCUCGUUGGCCUGAUGGGUGGCCUCGCCUUUGGCGCAUCCUGUGGCGAGGAUGGCGCUGCCUCCUGCGUCGUCGGCCACCUCGGCUGUCUAGUUCCGGGGGCGACUCCCGGCCCGGGGCGCCGUUUCCUGCGGUGGCGAUGGCGUUGCUUCUGCCGCAGCCGACCGCCGCGCCCCUUGGCCUCCUGGAAGGGACAGUUUGGACCAUUGUGGGGUUUUGUUUUGUCCCUCCUCCUGAUGUCCUCCCUCCGCCCACCCUGCUUCGACGUCCGGCCGUAGGGGGGGAUUCGGGCCCUCCUCCUACGACCUCCCUCCACCCGCCCUGGGCGGAGGGGGGAGGGGCUCGUUGGCGCCGUGGAAGACGCCAUGGGGGGGGGGUACUGUCAUGUUUCACGCCAUCUGUCACAUCCGGUUUUAUUUUGUUAACUUCCUGUUCACCCAGUCGUCACUCUCCGGUUCCCAGUAUCCACACCUGUUACCAAUCAGUAAUCAGUACCAGUAUAUAGUCUCACCACUCACAGACCCCAGUGGCCAGAUCGUUGAUUCCGUGACCUCACGUUCCAGCAGUUAUUGUUCAGCUCCGUAUCUCUGACCAUCGCUUCUCGUCUGAUCCUGACCGGUAUGUGAAUCCCUGACUCUGUUGCUCAACUCUGCCUGUAUCUGGACCGAUCUAAGCCCGCCGAUUCUAACUCUGAGAGCUGAGCCUUUUUUUGAUAUUGACCUGUGUAUGACCCGGACUGUUUUGUGACUUUGAUUCUGGAAUAAACCCCCGUUUUUCACCCUCUACACAUCGUGUCCUGGCGCUGUGCAUUUGGGUCCUCUCUUUGCUGUUCGGUGACAAAUACUAUGUUAGAAUGAAUAAUAAUGACAUCCUGCAAUUACACCAGCGAGGUGAUACGUCUGUUUUUGAUGACGGAUCCAGUUAACCUGGAUUAAAAAUCUGAACACAUGGAUGUUUAAAACAUAGGACAAAAAGCUAAUAGAUUUAUUUCAUGCAUUUAUUCAAAUCUAUUGGAAUGUAAGACACAUAUUGGUUGAGUUCAGCUGUUUGUCAGCAAUGCAAGCUAACAUACACUAAGAUGAACUACUAUAGAUAUCGUUGGCAGCAUUUCAUCCCUGUGAUCAAGAGGGAGUCUGUUAAAAAAAAAAAACACCAAAAAUAGCUGAAUACAUGUUGGUGGUUAUGUUUUAGUUUUUGUUAAUGACUUGUAGGGAAUAUGGAUGUAUGAACUUGAACAGGCCUGUGUAAAAGUCAAACAAAUAUUCGAAUGCCGCAGGCAGCCUCAGAACUCUGUUAUUCUCUUUGGUCUCAAUUGGUUUUGUUUCUCAGCAGUCUUUGCUUUGUUCUACUGUACAACAGAUCAGUUAUUCACUGAAUUAUUCAUUGUUUCCUUCAGGGUGGGGUCGGUGUGCAUUGAAAGCUUUGUGGUGAGAGCUUGACCAGUUCACUCAGAAGAAGGGGGAGAUUUCUGCACUGCACUUUAUGAGCCCAAUGCGUCAUGAUUAAGCACAUCCACUGUGCACUUUGAAGCCUGGUGAAACCAGUGCUGCUGCUGAUGACUCAGCAUUUCUCAGGUCUGUCUCUUUUUCAGAUGUUGGACUCAUGACUGAUAAAUGGUCUAACUACGACCUCUACUGUUCAUAUGUUGUAUCUGCAAGCUGGGAUUACGUCCUCUUUAUAGGCACAGAGAAUUUUUCAUUUUGUUGUUGAGUUUGACUUCAUGCUGGGUCCUGUGCACUUCACAUUAGCUGUUCUGUCACACAUGUAUUUGAAUUCUCAUCCUCUGAACUGCAUUAUCCUCGUAUGGUUUGCUGAUGUGUACAUGCUGAAAGACAACAACAACAACAACAACAACAACAACAACAACAACAACAACAACAACAACAACAACAACAACAACAACAACAACAACAACAACAACAACAACAACAACAACAACAACAACAACAACAACAACAACAACAACAACAAC